GCAGCAGCCGCGGGAAUACGUAGGUGGCAAGCGUUGUCCGGAUUUAUUGGGCGUAAAGCGAGCGCAGGCGGUCAAUUAAGUCUGAUGUGAAAGCCCCCGGCUCAACCGGGGAGGGUCAUUGGAAACUGGUUGACUUGAGUGCAGAAGAGGAGAGUGGAAUUCCAUGUGUAGCGGUGAAAUGCGUAGAUAUAUGGAGGAACACCAGUGGCGAAGGCGACUCUCUGGUCUGUAACUGACGCUGAGGCUCGAAAGCGAGGGUAGCAAACAGGAUUAGAUACCCGGGUAGUCCCUGUCUCUUAUAC
rnacentral:rRNA from 1 species